CGCAUCAGUCACGUGACAGCAGCAAUAUCCAUUCGACGACGACAAGACUCAAAGACGACGGGUAGCCAAUCGAAACUUGCAGCGUAGUGAUGUAGCUCACGAAGAAGCCUUCCUUCUGGCGUAGUAUCCCAGGCAGGCGAAGAUCCCAAGAAUCCCGAUAACCAAGCCCAGCACGAGCGCAAUUGCAUCUCCGGCAUCAAACGCACUCACAGUCGGCACUAGAGCAGCCAGCAAAGUCACCAGUACAAACAGCAAAGCGCGCUCCAUCGUCUCGGUAGCUUCGUGACGUUUCCUUUGCACGCAUGCGUGGGGCCUCCAACGUGUAAUUUUUUGCAGCAGCAUCAUCAUCUCGUGAGAUAUUAGAGAUACUAACAAGAAUACCAGCAGUUCGAGUGAAUGUAUAAUGUGGGUGUACCCGCAAUUCAUUGAUCUUGUUACUGAAGUACAUGAAUAUCAGUCAUUGUUACCAUCUAUGUGUUACAGACGGGUACCAUAUUUCUCUGAAUAACUCACGUGACAUCAAAAUGCCCAAGAUGGAUGUCUGAUGUCUGUUUUCAGAAUGGGAGCUAGAGCAUAUAUCAAGAACUCGGGUGAAGCUCAAAUGCUGAAGUAGCAGUGAAGAUGAUGAAAAUCCUCUUAUUAACUUUAUGGUAGUGUGGUAGUGACUCUGAUGCUCUAAGUGACUCAGAACUGUUAUCAAAGACAGCUUGAUUUUACCGGUAUUUCAUGAACCGCGAAGCUAAAAUAUGUUAAUUCCCUAUCUUGAUUAAUUUCCCUAUUGACUGACCACCAAAAAUAUUGAAUCCCUGGAAAUUGCUGUGAGAAACAAGGUAC